UGCCAGCCGCCGCGGUAAUACGGAGGGGGUUAGCGUUGUUCGGAAUUACUGGGCGUAAAGCGCACGUAGGCGGAUCAGAAAGUAUAGGGUGAAAUCCCGGGGCUCAACCCCGGAACUGCCUUGUAAACUCCUGGUCUUGAGUUCGAGAGGGGGCCAGAGAAUUCCCGGUGUAGAGGUGAAAUUCGUAGAUAUUGGGAAGAACACCAGUGGCGAAGGCGGCUAACUGGGUCGAUAUUGACGCUGAGGCGCGAAGGCGUGGGUAGCGAACGGGAUUAGAUA
rnacentral:rRNA from 1 species